rnacentral:rRNA from 1 species
CUACGGAGGCACCAGUGAGGAAUAUUGCACAAUGGGGGGAACCCUGAUGCAGCAACGCCGCGUGGAGGAUGACGCAUUUCGGUGUGUAAACUCCUUUUAUAUGUCAAGAAAAUGACGGUAGCAUAUGAAUAAGCGCCGGCUAACUCCGUGCCAGCAGCCGCGGUAAUACGGAGGGUGCAAGCGUUACUCGGAAUCACUGGGCGUAAAGGACGCGUAGGCGGGUUGGAAAGUCAGGUGUGAAAUCCUACAGCUUAACUGUAGAACUGCACUUGAAACUUCUAAUCUAGAGUAUGGGAGGGGGAGAUGGAAUUAGUGGUGUAGGGGUAAAAUCCGUAGAUAUCACUAGGAAUACCUAAAGCGAAGGCGAUCUCCUGGAACAUUACUGACGCUAAGGCGUGAAAGCGUGGGGAGCAAACAGGAUUAGAUACCCGCGUAGUC